CAGAGGAAUUAAAGGAAGAAGAAAACCUCCCUUGUUUAUAACAGUUUGGACAGAUGUCAUAUUUUUUGUUUUUUAAGUUGUGAUACCAAGUUUGAGAGCAAUUAACACCGCAAGUGAAACAAACUUUAUCGACUCGAGGGACUUUGUCGCUUUUUUCAUCUUCUUCUUUGGGAGAGGUUUGUUCCAUUGCAUUUAAACUAGGGCUGUAAUGCUUUUCUUCUAAUUUAACAAAUUCUUGGCUCGAAGAUCCACCGACGGUACUAGGAGGAGGGUGUUGAGCUAACAUUUCUUGCGUGACGAUUGGAGUAUUACUAAUAGCUUGAACAUGUCCUGAAAUAGGAGGAAGUCGGAAUGCAGGUCGCGUUUCAGGAUCGAUUUGAUAGUUAAUUAAGCCCCACUGUUCGAGAAAUGCAUGCACGCGAAUUAUAGCACAAACAUCACCAACAAGAUUUCGACGACAUGCAGUAACUGUCAGGUAUUCAUU